UAAAGUACUCAGUCCCUAUCUCUGUGACCUU
rnacentral:piRNA from 1 species